rnacentral:lncRNA from 1 species
CUGGAUUAGCCUCAUCAGAGAUGAUGAUGGGGGAUAUAAAUGUGCACAGAAUAUUAUUACCAAUAAUUAUAUAGGGAAUAUUUAGGCCAGUGUUCAAUCCAUGAUGCUCACAGUCUAGGUUAUAACAAAAUGAAUCUCAAAUGGUCUAAAGAUACCUGCUUUUGAAGUAAUAGUGCCAUAGGGGUCUUGGGUAACAUUAAUUAAUAUUUAGCAUAACUCCAGGAGGGUUUUU